UCAAAUUUGAUAGCUUGAACUCUUUCGGUCAUUUAUUUUUUUAUUGUUUCCCUGUCUUUCCUUCUCGCCUCUCUCUUCCUACAUCUCACACAGAACAUAGAAAUUCCAGAGAAAGAAACAAUCUUCCUACAAAAUUUCUUCUCUAUUCUUGAAUAUCAUGAACAUGGAUUGAAAAUUUAUGAAAGUCGUCUUCAGAUGGUGCAAAUGAGGAACUUUGGAAUCUUGCUAAAGAUGAAGAAUUGAUGAAUUUGCAGAUUAAUGCUCUACAAGAGGAUGGAAGGAGAAGACAUACUGAUUUCGACCUUGUGGUCACCAAUGCCCAGACCAAUGAAGGAUAGACAAAUAUCUUUAUUCUCUGCAACUGAAACCUAAUCCUCUGUUAAUUUAGAAAAAAAAAAAAACUAAGAAGGCUAAAUACUACGUUGAUGAAGUGAAGGCAAAGAGUGGGAAAGACAUUGUGUUCUUAUUGAAGUACUAUAUUUUUCUUGUUUUCAUCUGUUUGUGUUUGCUGCUUUGUAUUCCCAACUCAAAGUUUAUGUUUUCAGUUGUUUCUGAUUGUUGCUCUAUAUUCCCAACUCAAAGUUCAGAUCUCAAGUUCUCACCCUCUCAAUUGCAUCUCUUGAACUAGUAGCUAGCAUUCAUUGUGUGGAGUGUGGACUAUGAGAUCUUUGAUUUACAAGAUAGAAGAAAAUAAGGGAAAAUAACAUAAAUAGAAUGAUAUAUAUUAAAAUAAUACUCAAUUUUGACAUCUCCAUUGGAGCUAAGUUUAGUCAAAUUAUUAACAUGUCAAUUUUGCCAUGUCAUAUGUCAAAUUUGAAUUUGACCAAAUCCAAAAGACAU